rnacentral:misc_RNA from 1 species
CGCGAGGCAGAACGCACGCCGGUGUCAAACGGUACGCGCUACAUUCGGUCGCUCAAUAAAAUUUACGUUCGUAAACGUUCAGUGUAGUGUUGUUCGCAUUUCGGAAUAAAAAAAAUGCAUCUAAGUUCGAUUCAGUUGGCGUGCGCGGCACUGGUGGCGGUGGCCCUGGGCGCGGCGGCGCCGCCCUCGUCGUCGCACCACGUCGCGAGGCGCUCCUUCUUCACCCUCGAGUGCAAAGGAGUCUACGACGCGGCCAUCUUUGCCCGCCUCGACAGGAUCUGUGACGACUGCUACAACCUCUUUAGAGAACCACAACUCUACACUCUAUGCAGGAAAGACUGUUUCACGACAGAUUACUUCAAAGGCUGCGUGGAGGUGCUACAAGAAACUGACCAGUUAGAACAGUUCAAGGAAUAUAUAAGAAUAUUACACGGGGCCGUCCCCCCCGCUGGGAAUUAGGGAGAAAUGCUUCACAUCGCCCUAUUUCAAGGGAUGCAUGGAGUCUUUGUACCUCUACGACGAAAAGGAACAAAUUGAUCAGAUGAUCGACUUCGUCGGUAAACGCUAAUCUACAAUCGCGAGCAAAAAGUUCCGACGCAUCUAACCGUGUAAUAACUACGCAGUACCAACUUCCAACGCAAAGGUUCACGCAACGACCGCUUUGCCAUAAAGCAGACCAUAGACAAUGUUCCAGUUGGACAUCUGCUUUCUUCCUCAACAUAUUCUAGUCCUUAAGCGACGUAAAUAGUUUUAUGUUCGCAACUAAAUGUAAUGUUAUUGUAAUUUGUAUUAAGUAAACUAAGGACAUUUAUUAUCUAUUUUAUGGUUUAUAUGUUAUUAAAUGUUGUAAGCUUCUUACUUAGGGAAGUGUAAAGUACAUUGUAUCACCUCCUAGUAUUGAAAUUCGAAAAUUUGAGGCAGCCUUUGGUGUCGAUGCUGGUCAUCUGUUCUGUCUCGUGAGAUCCGACUGAGAUUAACGAUUUUAAUGUCUAGGUGUCGUUUUGAGAUGGCGACUGGGUACCUGGAGGCAGCUGGUUGCUUACCCCGCUUCCGAUCAGCUUCGCCCGGCAGCUGCCCGGCUCCCACUCGAACGUCUCAAAGCGACAGCUGAUUAGCGACGCAUUCCAAUCACAGUAUUUAAAAAAACGAAUACUUACGCUUUUUCAAGUCUACAAUUCAUUUUAUCACAUUUUUGUAUUAAUUUUUGAAUUAUAUUUUAAAAGCCUUACAAUAGAUUUUACAAGAUAGUAUUUGAUUUUAUAAUGUUAGGUAGGUUCUGAACCAAUAUACUUCUUUGCUAUACGAAUUUGAACUUAAUUACCAAGAAACUUUGAUUUUAGUUUAAUUAAAACUUAGUAUUCACAAUCUGUUGCUAGUUAGUUUGUACGUAAAUCACGCAUGUGGCUUAUACAUCACUUAGGUUUAUCUCUACAAAACUCAGGGAGUUUAUUGUUUUAGUUGUCAUUCGCGUUUAUUUAUUUAUUAUUCAUGUUCAUGCAAAAGGACCAGUUUCACUAACUGAUAAAUGCUAAAACUUUCCAAUUUUAAAGUAAUAGAAUAAAAAAUAUUUUCAUAUGUCAGGUUACCUUGGUUAGUGAAACUGGGCCUUAAGGUUCUCAUUCGUGCAAGUAAAUGUAAGUAAGAUAAGUAAGUCUACUUGCACAAAUGAAACUUGACUAUUCACAAAUUUUACCGAAAUUAUGCCCUUUUCGUUUGAUAGCCGAGCGAGUUUAAUGAUUAUUUUUAUUAGUUAAUUUCAUUAGUUAGUAAGUAUUUAAAAAAGAUUUAUUUUUAUAUACUUCCGACCUAUUUAUUACCUAUUGUUACUUUUUAUUUAUAUUUUUUUAAUAAUAAGUAUGAAUAGAAACUUUUUCGUACAGCGAUAGAGUGUACCAGUGUGAAAAAAUAUUUAACUACUCAUAUUAUAUUCCUGAUUUUUUUAUUAUCUUUAAGUUGCGGUUAAUACUUAUUUAAAAGUUUUCUUUUUGUAAAUUCCGCUGUAACUCUUGUCUGUGUUCGAAUCUCAUCUUUUAUUAGUUUAUUAGCGUUUCUUAUGUUUCAUAGACAUACUUUGUAAUGAAUAUCGACACAGGGACGUCAUCGUUUCGACACAAAACAGUCUGUCCUGUGACAUAGAUAAAAUGGUGCCAAUUAUUGUCAGCAAGACACUAGGUUAAAAAAAAUUAGCUAAUGGUAUAUAAACAAUGUAUAGGACGCGUUUGUAAAAAUGAAUUAGUAAAUUAUUAUAAAUAAUUGUAUAAAUUUUAUAAAAACAGCUAAGAAACGCUACGGGUUCCAUGAAAUAUAUUUGAUUUGAAAAUCA